CCGCCCCGUCAGCGCCGCCCCGCCCCGCAGCGGCGCCAUGGCGGCGGGGACGGAGUGUGUCACGCGAGGGCGCUUGUGACGUAGCGACACACAGGCCAAAAUGGUGAGGGGUUUAGCUCUCCAGAUGGAAAGGGCCGGGUGAGCCCUGCUGUUACACCAGCCACUUCAUCUUUCCUCUGUGGUAAUACUGCCUAAAGAAGAGAAAACAGAGUGGUCUUCCGGAAAGUCAAGAGAGAGAAGUUGACAAGUGUGUCCAGCACAUUUUUUAGAAUGUGUUCCAGAAGAUCUCAGGGCAGCUGAGUGACCUCCCAUCUGCUCCCAGGCCUCCCAGAACAGGGAGGAGAAAGGAGGGGAAAAGAGAGGAGCUGGCAGCAGAAGAGGUGAACAUCUCCAGCAAAGUACAGAGACGAAGUCAUCCCAGCACCAUGCUAGGCUAAAACCUUUUGUAUAUCUGAAGACCUGACUCUGUAGCUACAGCCACUUGCAACCUGCUUUUUUGUUGAGGUUCCUAUUAUUCAGAAACUACAACGUAGGCACGUUACACAGGUACACAACCAAACAUGCUAUAUAUGCAGAGCCACACAGCAUGUGUGUGUCACCUGCUUGUACAAUGUGUACGUGCUUGUCAGAAUGGUGAAGGAUGAUGAGAAUGUAGUGUUGACACCAACAACCAAACAAAAUGUACCUGUAGCAAAACACAGUUUUACUAUGAAUUAGUUCAGAUUUUAAUCUCUCAGUGUGCAGCUAGGAACCUAAUAGGCCUUUCAAAGGUGCCUAAUUAUGAUUAAAUUUUGAAAACCUGUUUAUAUUUAUCUGCAUCCUUAGGCUUUGUUUACCUUUAAAAGUUGGUCUGGAUGGAUGACAGUUUUAAAGUAGCUUUUUCCUGCCUCUUCAGAUUUUGAAUUCUAGAGCCAGUACAUCCUUUGUUAUGAACUAUAUUGGAUUCAUAAAUUGCUCUGACUCGUACUGGUCUGCUUUUUCCCCUCUUAAACCUUUCCACCCAGAUCUCUUUUCUAGAUAGUGCCUCUUCCUUUGGGCCUGUGGGAGUUGAUAGCACUGUGCGUUCUGUGCCCUGCCUGUGCCCGAGGUAUUCCCAAGGAGCCAUUUUAGCUGAUUUUGCAAGUAGUGGAUUCUUAGUCUCAACAGCACUACUCUUGGAGACUAGAAAUGUGUUAAAGUUAAAGAGUCAAAACCCCUGCAAGGGAAGGAAAUGAGAGGUCCUCUUGGCAGAAACAAACAGAUAAUAAACAGCUAAACUCUUCGCAAGACAGAUUCCUCAAUUAUAGUAGCUCAGAUUCACAAAGGCCAAAGUUAUGACCCAUUGGCCAAUGCAGUAUGUAAACACAAGGAUGCGGUAAUUAGCAUCAUGUUUGUUUUGAAGCUUCUGAAGUCUUGUGACCCACCAUGGAGUAAGGUCAUUAACCAAAACCACACUAGCAACCUUCACACAGAGCACCUCAUCUCUCACAGUUAUACUAGAGAACUGCGCACUGUUAUGUCUCUCUGGUUCAUGAGUUCCAGUCCUUGUUUUAAAUGCCACAAUACGUAAGGGAGAGGAUGUGACUUUUGAGAUGAGCUGUGACUGAGAUAUCUUCCUUUCCCAUUUACCUAUGCUUAAGACUUAAAUAUUGGUAGGUAAAAAUAGUCCCCAAAAUACCCAGAAUUUCCUCCAAUUUUUUUUUGAGUUAGAAAAAAUCAUUUAAAAAUAGUACAUUGGGGAAUUAUUGGCUUGAUUUAGGCUUUCAUUGCUCUGGGAACAUACUUUUAUCAUCAGUGAAUGGAAUGGAUAGGGACAGCCUACUUACAGCCUGUUCUGUAAAGGACAGUUCACCUCUGAAUAAACAGGUGUCCAGCCAUUACUAGAUAUUCAUUAACAAACACAACGAAACAGUGCUCUCAUCCUGACUUUGCCAACAUCUAAUGGAGUGAGCAUUGAGAACAAAUAUUUUUCACCUCUACUUUUCAUUUUGCUUUGGCUGACCCCACGGCUCCCCUGGAACAUAUUUGUCUUGUUUACAGAGUCAGCCUUGGUAAACUGUGGUUUAGCUUUUGCAGUGUUAUGAAGUCAUUACUAUGCAGAUGGGAGGAAAGUACCAUUUAAUUCUAAACACAUAAAAAGUUAGCGGGUGAAAGUCCACAUCACUCACACAAGGCUGUCCUUAAGAGUCAUUGGAAAGAAACAGGCACUUUCAGGAGGCAAAUCAUUUUUGCCCUUCUUAGAAUCUGUCUUACAGUGACAUGAAUCCCCCUCCCCAGGUGCAGCUUACCACCAUUAACAUGACCCUUCAGGAACUUGCUUAGACAUAAACAACUAAUUUUUAACUGUCUAACUUAAGUGCACCCAUGCUCUUGCCAAGCCUAUAGAGGCUGAGUGAAAAUUCCCAGCUACUCAUUCCUUGUCUGAAUUCUUAGAUAGCAAAACCCUCUUUCUCUGUGAGAAGCACAUACACAUCUUUAUUUUGAAUGACAGAGAAAAAGUCCUGAUGGAGCACUUGGGAGCUUGUCUUAACACAAUCCAAAUACUGUCAAAGGUCAAAAUGUCCAGUGUGACGACAGAACUCUACAAAGUGCACAAGCAAUUUUUCCAGAGACCCUUCAGCCCAGCAUUUGCAAGAAUAAAUGAUUAUUGCUACAUGAAUAAAUGUGUUGUUUUGGCACAUAACUUCUGUAAGUCUUAAGUGGCUACAUGGCUUUUUUGUGUUGUAAAGAUCAUGAAACCUUGCUUUUAUGUGCCGUGAUUCGAAACCUGUUCAAAGCCGUGGUGAAAUUCCCACUGAUUUCAAAUGGCUUCUUUCACUACUAUAAAUCAAUUCCUAACCUUAUCAAAUGGAAGUUUUCCCGUAAGGAUCACCAAUGCCAGAACUUUCACGUACAUCUUUAAAAUCUAAUAUAACUAGUAUAUCUAUUCUCUUCUUUUCUUUUAAAGUUUUUUUUUAAUUUCUUUGUUCUGCUUGGGACAGCCUAAUUGAAUAUUAAUGAAAUCAGUGCACCCAAACAGAAGAUCAACUGCAGAACCUUUUCUUCAUGAGAAAUGCUAAAGAGGAACUCAGUUAAAACUCCAAGGCCCUCUGUGCUCCAUUAAUACAUAUGUCUGUAUGGCAUCAGAAUGAGUUUACUUAGAGUGGGUUACACAGUGAGUUUAAGUUAUGUGAGUACAAUUAGUUUAUUGCUUAAUAUUUUAAGUUAUUAGUAUUAAGUUACGUUGUUUUCAGCUAAAGUAACAUCUUGAUGAAUGGCUCAGGAUUUUGAGCUCAGUGGUGGUUUUGGAAAUCUAAUGAAACUCUGAUAGGAAUCCUUCAACAACACCAUAGCUGACUGAAGACUUUUUCAUAUAUGAUCUGAUAAAUAUGUUGGAAGCAUUAUGCACACAUAUACCAAUAAAGGAUGGAGGAGCUAGUUCAAAGAAACAACAGAGCUGGCCUGAAUUUCAGCCUUCCUAGCUAUUCAAAUCAAACCUGGGUUUUCAUAUUUGCAUGAGCAGCAGACAGGCUAGAAGCUUAGCUUUAAUAGUUCCCCCCAAACAUAAACACUUUACUCAUUAAAACUGCUCAAUACCAAAUCCUGUUCCUUUGGUUCUCUUGUCUCCACCAGUCUGUAUCUGGAAUUCAGCUCCUCAUCUCAAAGACAUGGCUUUCUCUCUUACUCCUACUGCCUACUACAGUAUGACAACUGUAUUCUCCUUACAGCACAAACCAUCAACUGACAAGCUGCCUUGUUUCCAGGGAGCUGUCUCCUCUACCGUUUGAAUGCACUCUUGAGAAUCUGGGGUAAAAUUGUCCCUCUUCCUUUCAUAAUAGUAUCCUGCUUUCAGACUACUAACUGACAAUCACUAUACUCACAGUGAAAAAUUAAUGUGCUAUUGCGUAUGCAUUCUGAUAACUUUUCAUGUCUAAUGCCUGAAUUUUUGCUUCUUAAUAAAAGGAACUUUCUUCAGUCUGCAUUUGCACAGAACUCAGCACAACCAGCAUUAGAUCUCUCCCUAGAACAUCUAAAUCCUGCUGACAUACAAAUGAAUCAAUAUAUAAGCAAGCAAAAAUUGAAAUAUAUUACUAGUUGGUUUACAACAAUGCAGUUAUUUAACCAAUGUAGUUUAUUAGCUUGCCUAAUAUCCAGCUUUCUAAGAUGUGUUCCUUAUUUGUAACUGUCUGCUUAGUCUUUUGGUGAGUGUUUUCAGUCUCUUCCGACUGAUCAGAAAAUUUUCUCUGAAAGUAUUUAAAACUGACUACUCUGUGGGAAUUAGCUAGGCUUGAACAGGAAAGUCUUGUCGUAAAGGUUCUCUCCCAUUUGGCUGCAGAGUCUUGGCAGAAUUGCUCAUGCAUGAAAACAAGCAAUUCCUCCCCCACAAAUACUUCUGUAUGCAAUUUUGAUAUUUGUCUUUUGGCCAGUAAAAGUCAAUCUCAUACCCUUUUGCAGAGAGCAGCCCAAAGGGACAUGUGCUAGGCCAGAGCAUGUUUAUUGAGACAAAUAAAUAAAUAUUAUUUUGUAAUUUGCAAUGUUUGCCAUAAUCUGCAAGUUACGCCUUUGCAGUGCAUCAAAAAAUGCAACGGCAAAUGUCUAUGGACAUAGCUGCAGCAAACAGUUUUCUGUCAAAGUAUGACUAUCAGUGAAAGGUAUGAACCAAGAAGAUGCUAAGUACAGAAAGGUAAAAGUAAUAGUACACUGUACUGAAGGCACAAAACAGAAAAUAUGAGGGAGAGAAAGGAAGAAGAAGAAACUAGAAUUUAAAAUCAUACAGUCUUGCAGACUGAAAGGAACUGACCAUCAUGGGUUUAAAAGAGGAGAAUUAUGAAUUAAAUUAUAGUGAGACUUGGACAGGACUGAAUUAUAAAAGUAGCACCUAUGUGAAACAAAUUCAAAUUGCUAUGUCAGAUGACAUUGGGAUCAACUAAUUUAGUGCUAGAAUGAGUAAGAGGAACCUUCCUAGGCUAGCAGGGUAAUCUGCAACCUCAUUAUUCCUGUUUGCUUACAUUCAUCCUAAGAAAAAACUAUCACCUUCGCCCAUUAAAACUUCUCAUUUUAUAUCCAGUGAGGGGAAAGGAAAGGAGUUGUAAUAGAUCUUGCCAGCCUAAAUGACACACUAGCAGAUAGAAACCAAAAAAACUCUUCAUUUUUUCAAUCUCAUUUUGUGUAGCCAUUCCAGAAACAUGUACUUGAAUAUGUGAGAUAACAGCAACUUAACUGACUGACAUCCUGUCUCCAGUCUCAACUUCUGGAGCAAAAUCAUUGAGGCAUCUAUGACAAGCAUCAUACGCCAUCAACAUGUGGUCCUUGCCCUAACUCCUUUGGCUGCAGGUGUGUUCAACAAUGAAAGCAGCACUAGCUGAGCUAGCUAACUAUCUCUUCAUGGCCACAGAUAAAAGAUUAACAGCACUGUGGAUACUGACUGCUAGGUCUACCAGUAGAUUUCAGGUUGGAAGCUAAUAAUGGAAUAAUAAUAAUGGAAUAAUAUAAUGGAAGCUAAAUUCUAGAGCAAAUGUUUGAGUUGCUAGGUAGAGUCAUACAAUAUCAAAGAGCAUUUUUCAAAUUUUCUUAACAAUAAAUACAAAAAUAUUUACUUUUCUUUCCCUUUCCAAAGGUGUUUUUGUUGGUAUCCCCUCCUCCCUUCACUGACUGAACACAGUUAGCCGUAACAGCAAAGCCUCCCUUGGCUUCUCAUGCAGUCACUCUGUUGUUCAACUGGGAACAGAAGUUCCUGUCUGUGUAAUGAGGGACAGUGGCAGUGGGGAAGCUAAGUUGCCUGGAGAUUAAGUUGAAAAGCUUCAUUUUCCCUUUCCAAUAAGAACAGAAUGAAAACUUUUAGCUUAAUUCUCGGUUUGCUGACUUGUGUGACCAUAAUCCACCCCUUAAAUUUAUUUUAACUUCAUAUUUUAUGUAUAAAUUUCCUCAGUUUUAUUGAAGAUUAUCUUUUUUAAAAAAAUGUAUCUCCCUAUAAACAUGUACUAAAGUGGA